ensembl:lncRNA
CAAUGACAACCGCCCGUCGCAGAGCCCCUGAAGGGGCCCCCUCUGCCGUGAGUCAAAGUCGCCCCUCCCUCACCUCCUUCUCUCUGUCAGACAGAGGGAGAGGGGGAGAGAGAGGUGCCCACAGCGUGUGCAGCUGCUCUUCAGUAAAUAAAAACAUGGAGGCGUAACUGCGGAGAGGACGAUAGAUAAUGAAGAGAAGUUAUCCUUCUGGAAGUGAAAAAAGAAAGAAAAAAAAGGAGGAGGAAGAGAAAAGAAAACAAGAAAGCGGCCUGACUGUGAACACCGUUGACACCCACCUCAGGGAGACGCUGUCUAAGAUCUCAAGGCAGCUUGGUUGUGGUCUUUCUGGCACGUACUCUUCCAAGAUGAGCCGGGAAGUUUAACACUGAUGGAAUGACACCAGGUCUAAGCCAACAAACUUCCAAUUCCUCCUCAACC